GAUGAACGCUGGCGGCGUGCUUAACACAUGCAAGUCGAACGGUGAAGGCGGAGCUUGAUCUGCUGGAUCAGUGGCGAACGGGUGAGUAACACGUGAGCAAUCUGCCCCUGACUCUGGGAUAAGCGCUGGAAACGGCGUCUAAUACUGGAUACGAGCUGCGAAGGCAUCUUCAGCAGCUGGAAAGAAUUUCGGUCAGGGAUGAGCUCGCGGCCUAUCAGCUUGUUGGUGAGGUAAUGGCUCACCAAGGCGUCGACGGGUAGCCGGCCUGAGAGGGUGACCGGCCACACUGGGACUGAGACACGGCCCAGACUCCUACGGGAGGCAGCAGUGGGGAAUAUUGCACAAUGGGCGAAAGCCUGAUGCAGCAACGCCGCGUGAGGGACGACGGCCUUCGGGUUGUAAACCUCUUUUAGCAGGGAAGAAGCGAAAGUGACGGUACCUGCAGAAAAAGCGCCGGCUAACUACGUG
rnacentral:rRNA from 1 species